CAGACAAGACAAAUAUAAUGACGAUGUCGGUCGUCUAGAAAUGUAAAAAGAUCCCUGGACCGGGUAGACCGGGUAGACCGGUCGGAAUUGUUUAAUUCAAAGAUAAUGUUUGUCUUGGAAACUCGGAAAGGACAAUUGAACUGGGGUGGUUUUCUUUCGUUGGUUUUUACAAAUUUAUCAUUGGAACUUUAAGCAAACAUUCAUGUAUUGUGAGUUGUUACACAUAUGGUUUGAAUUUACACGGCAG